rnacentral:rRNA from 1 species
UGGGGAAUAUUGCACAAUGGGCGAAAGCCUGAUGCAGCAACGCCGCGUGAAGGAAGAAGGCCUUCGGGUCGUAAACUUCUGUCCUUGGGGAAGAAGAACUGACGGUACCCAAGGAGGAAGCCCCGGCUAGCUACGUGCAGCAGCCGCGGUAAUACGUAGGGGGCGAAGCGUUAUCCGGAAUUAUUGGGCGUAAAGAGUACGUAGGUGGCAACCUAAGCGCAGGGUUUAAGGCAAUGGCUUAACCAUUGUUCGCCCUGCGAACUGGGAUGCUUGAGUGCAGGAGAGGAAAGCGGAAUUCCUAGUGUAGCGGUGAAAUGCGUAGAUAUUAGGAGGAACACCAGUGGCGAAGGCGGCUUUCUGGACUGUAACUGACACUGAGGUACGAAAGCGUGGGGAAGCAAACAGGAUUAGAUACCC